rnacentral:rRNA from 1 species
GACGAACGCUGGCGGCGUGCUUAACACAUGCAAGUCGAACGGAGUGGCGAACGGGUGAGUAACACGUGGGUGACCUGCCCUGCACUUCGGGAUAAGCCUGGGAAACUGGGUCUAAUACCGGAUAGUGUGGGAUGGGCCCGCGGCCUAUCAGCUUGUGGGUGGGGUAAUGGCCUACCAAGGCGGCGACGGGUAGCCGGCCUGAGAGGGUGGACGGACACAAUGGGACUGAGACACGGCGCAGAGGGCGACGGGGGGCAGCAGGGGGGAAUAUGGCACAAUGGUGGGAAGUGUGAUGAAGAGACGCCGGGUGGGGGAUGACGGUCUUCGGGUUGUAAACUCCUUUCACCAUAGACGCGGUAGAUGGAGAAGAAGCACCGGCUAACUACGUGCCAGCAGCCGCGGUAAUAC